CUGCCAAGCGUAUACUUUAGAGUUGCAUUCUGACCUUUCUUACCACUGAGUGGAAUUAAGAGAUCCGUUCACAUAUAUAAAGAGAAUCUAUAAUUAUGUAGGCUUUCCUCUACUAUGUAAGUACUGAGUCAAUGGAACUCAAAUCUCUCUUUUCUUCUAAGCUUAACACAAGCACCCGACCUAGACUGCUUAGGGACAUUCUGAUCUAGCUACCCCACACCCGAAACUUCCCCCACAGGAUUGAUUUCUUGAUUUCCUUUUGCUUCAAACAAGCACAAUCACCUCUAUCUGACUUGCCAACUCCUGUACUUUAGAUCAGUCGUUUGAUACCUUGUCCUGAGUGAACCCUAUUAAUAGCGUUGGAAGCGAUGACACUUAAGAGAGCUUAUAAUGCAUUUGUAUACCUUAGAGGGCAGGACAGAUUGCCUAGUUGCUUAGGAGAGUAAGUGGUUUCAUUCUCAUUCUUCUACUAGAUGCGGAGUGGAAUACCGGAUUGAGAGGUUAAUAGAGUUAUAUCGGAGUGGAAGCCCUUUAGUAGUAGCACUGGUAUCAGACUUUAGCCCGAGAUACUUAUAGCCAUGGUUUACAGCACCUUAUAGUAGUAGUCCAAGUAGUA
rnacentral:lncRNA from 1 species